UUGACCUCGAAUCAGGUAGAUGAAUCUUAUCCCGCUGAACUUAAGCAUAUCAA
rnacentral:rRNA from 1 species